UACGGAGGGGGCUAGCGUUGUUCGGAAUUACUGGGCGUAAAGCGCACGUAGGCGGCUUUGUAAGUUAGAGGUGAAAGCCCGGGGCUCAACUCCGGAAUUGCCUUUAAGACUGCAUCGCUAGAACGUCGGAGAGGUAAGUGGAAUUCCGAGUGUAGAGGUGAAAUUCGUAGAUAUUCGGAAGAACACCAGUGGCGAAGGCGACUUACUGGACGACCGUUGACGCGUGAGGUG
rnacentral:rRNA from 1 species